CGUAAUCCUCAGUACCACUUCAAGCCGUUUCCAAGGCGGACGUGAACCGAGACGUAUCGAUAGGCUUUCAGUUGGUGUUUACUUCGCGAAACCAAGAUCGACGCGAGGCCAAAAGAAGAUCGCGGAUACUGCAGUUGCGCCCCUUUUAUGACUGAACUGUCCCACAUUUUGCCAUAGAAGAACCCACUCAACUAUCAUACAAAAGACCCAGUGUUGGAUAUUGAGACCAUCGAACUACAAGCAAAGGGCAGCCGAGCAAAUUUGCUUCCAUUCAAAACACCUGUUGUUGCCGAGCGUGAGGUGAAGGAGGAAACACAAAGAAAAACAUGAGUAAAUGUGCGGCGAUCGUAUUUUUCAUUGUGGCGCUCGCGGUGGCAGAGCUCGCGCAAGCGGCCAAAGAUACCAAGGAAAAACACAUCAAGUACAAGGAGAAAGAUCUGAUGCGAAAGUCGAUCGUGUACGAUAAAAACACACCCGAUGUAUUCUACUGUCCCACCAACAAGCCCACCGGGAUGGAUAAGAUGAUUGUGAGAUCUCGUCCACUGCACAAACUCUGCGAGUACGAGGGUAAACCUCUUCCGGAAGACUACAAAUCCGAUUGUUACAAGGAUCUGGACGAAAGUGACUAUGCCUGCAAGGAAAAAUACAGGAUUAUGAAACGGUACGCCAAAGAAAAUGUCGAAAUCUAAUCAAAACGCAUUUACAAACACGCAUAAAUAAAAACAACUACACAAACCAAACAAAGCAACGCCAAGUGCACUCGCGAAUUCUUCAUUAGACGCCUACACUGCGAGCCCAAGUUUUUGGCAAUGGAAAACGCACGCGAGCAUUCUCUCAUCUUUUUCUUCUACGCAAUAUGCACGAAAUUGAACGAUAAAAUUAGACUUAACCGACCUAAAGCCGCAACCCUCGAAUACGUACAACUGACCUUCUAUUAGUCGUUCUUCCUCUCUGUUAUACUACGAUCUUCUACGAAUUUUGACAAGCUAUACCAUUUUAAUAACGUAACGUUUCCUUUUAUUUCCCGAGUAACGAAAAUGUAUAUUCAAAAUAACAAACCGAAGCUUUCCUGCAGAAUUAAUGCCAAAACAGGCUACACCAGCUUCUCUAUAACUUUUUCGAAAGAUAAAAUGUGUAUAGCCAUAGUAAUGCUUUGAUGUUAGAAAGCAGUUGAUCAUUUAAAUAAACACGAACAAGAAAGGGUUCCAACAAUCGGUUACCAAAUAUUAACGAAAACUCGAAUUUAUACAAACCCCUUAAUCAGUAACAAGUAACUAAUUUUAUAAAAUUUGGCAAUGACAAUGAAUUUGGCAAUGAAUUGAAAGUGUUGCCAGUCCAUUGCAGACAACGUUCAUUCGAAUAAUUUCUUUUAGAAAAAUGCAUUAAUCGUUCUCUACAAACGGAGUUUUGCAACCGUUUCAUUCAAAUUAGGCUUUCAUCUAGUAGUAGUUCCAUAGUAUCAUUCCAAAAUAGCCGCUUCAUUAGUUUACCAUUCUACUGCCUAAAACACGGAAUGAAAUGGGUUUGCUAAUUGCGGCGGAACGUGGGUGCGUCAGCACAACACUCAACCACGGUUAAUUUUUUCGAGCUAUUAACAACUAUGAAAUGUGAUCAGGCUGGUGGAAUAAAAUAAAACGAAUCAUUUCAUAUUUAAAAAAACACUAACUGUUUGCUUUGGUUUCCGGAAUGACUAUACAAACUAAUCCGUUUCACUAAUUCAGUCAAUCCUUCCAACAUGGACAGUACAGUUUUGAUUCCCAUAGUCCUUUUAACAAUAAAACCACUAACGAUCUUGCCAUGAACAAUCGAGACAAAACCAAUUAACAACCGAUUUUUGACAACCGCGACAAGAAAAAAAAACAUGUACAAAUACGUAUAUACAUUACAUAAACACGGAAACUAUGAUUUGCAAACAAAACAUGCCACAAUUUUCACAAGGGAUCGCAGCUAACAGCAGAUGCGCAUGCACCCACCGGGCAGCGAUGCUCCCUUCAACGGAACGCGAUUGAGCCGAUUCAUGGACAUGGACGAAGAUAUGAAGAGGAUUAAGCCCAAACGACAACACUAGAUGGAUUGUUGAUCCCUGUUCUGGAAAGGGAGAAAAAAAGAACUACCGCAAUAAUGCCUGUAAAUAAGUGGAUUGCCAUAACGUCUAAGCGUUUGAGGACCUGAAACGAUGAAACGAAAUUUUCCGCUGAAAUCUAUAUACUCGCUCACGCAACUAUUUCAUUUUGUUUGUUCUAUGAAAUAGACAUAAUAUUGUGAUUGAUUUUACAACGUUGCGAAUGUUACGCAUCCAUCCAUAGAAGGAUGAAGAUUGUUUGUUGUUGAUUUUGUUUCGAAGUGUUAAGUAUAUUGAAAGUGAGAAGCAAAGAAAGUGAAGGAUUAACAAAAUUGUGCUAAAUACAUAACAAGUCGUGGAUUUCUACCAACCUUUGUAAAUUAGUUCUAUUUAAAUCGAACCGCAAUAGGGCUAUUUAAACUUAAAAUAAAAAAGUAACAAAUUUUUAGAA